GAGAAGGUAAAGCAAAUGGCAGCUAGCCUGCUAACGCAGCAACAGUUUUUCCGUGCUAACAAAGCUCAAGAAAAUGCAACAAUAGCCAGUUAUGAAGUAUAUCCGUGCGAAGCUCCGUCUCUUCGAGUCACAACUGCGCAACUUCAAUGUAGCGCACUUCCCCACGCUGACCGAAAUCAAAUGCGCAUUUCCAAACGCCAAGCUCUGCAAAAAUGGGAGAAUAUGUGUCUGUGAUCACAUCUCUCAUGACAGAAUUCAGUCAGCGCUUCCAAGAUUUUUCUGUCAUUGAGAAGGAAAUCACACUGUUUGCGGCUCCGUUUUCAAUGGAUGCAGAAGAAGUGGAGGAGAGUCUGCAAUUAGAACUGAUCGAAAUUCAGUGUGAAGAAUCAGCAUCAGCUUCUCUCCCUACCUGACUUCUACCGGAGCUUGGAAAAGGCCAAGUUUCCUCUGAUGAGACGCCACGCUAAACGAAUGAUGAGUCUGUUCGGCUCAACAUACAUCUGUGAGCAGACAUUCUCUCUGUUAACGCUGAACAAAAGCAGACUGAGAACCAGAACGACCGACAGCCAUCUCCGUGACGUCCUUCGCAUCUCAACCACCAAACUUACUCCUGACCUGCCAGCUAUCCUUCAGACCAAAGCGCAGCAUCACUGCUCCCACUGAGCGCAACAUUCUUCCCAUUACAGGACAAUGAAGGGGGAUCAGCACCCUAAGAACCAAUCUGAGGCUGUCACUGAGAGAAUGACCUGCCAACCUUUUUGUAAAAAAUAAAAUUUAAAUCUACUAAUGGA